CUGGGACAGAGGAGGGGAGGUUGCAGCCCACCUGUGUCUGAAAGAUUGAGUGUCCUUGCUCAUUUUCCACCUACAAGCACUCUCACAGCUUCAACUGUUAUGGAGUCAGUUAUUGCAUCUUUCAGCUACGAGUGAAAUGCAAGGCCGCAGUCUGAAGUUCCCCCGCGAACAGCAGCCCUUCACCGGCUCAGAUUUCGGCAACACACCGGCAUGACAAUUAGCUCUUUUUUGCAAUAACAGAGAACAGUUGAAAACACUUAAAUUAAAAUGCUACUUUAAAAUGUUACAUUUUUUAAUAGUAAAAUGCUUGUUCAAUGAGUUUAAAUGUUUGUAAUAUUUAACCCCAAAAUCUAUUAAAUUCAAAUAAUGUCUUGUA